rnacentral:rRNA from 1 species
GAGUUUGAUCAUGGCUCAGAUUGAACGCUGGCGGCAGGCCUAACACAUGCAAGUCGAACGGUAACAGGAAGAAGCUUGCUUCUUUGCUGACGAGUGGCGGACGGGUGAGUAAUGUCUGGGAAACUGCCUGAUGGAGGGGGAUAACUACUGGAAACGGUAGCUAAUACCGCAUAACGUCGCAAGACCAAAGAGGGGGACCUUCGGGCCUCUUGCCAUCGGAUGUGCCCAGAUGGGAUUAGCUAGUAGGUGGGGUAACGGCUCACCUAGGCGACGAUCCCUAGCUGGUCUGAGAGGAUGACCAGCCACACUGGAACUGAGACACGGUCCAGACUCCUACGGGAGGCAGCAGUGGGGAAUAUUGCACAAUGGGCGCAAGCCUGAUGCAGCCAUGCCGCGUGUAUGAAGAAGGCCUUCGGGUUGUAAAGUACUUUCAGCGGGGAGGAAGGGAGUAAAGUUAAUACCUUUACUCAUUGACGUUACCCGCAGAAGAAGCACCGGCUAACUCCGUGCCAGCAGCCGCGGUAAUACGGAGGGUGCAAGCGUUAAUCGGAAUUACUGGGCGUAAAGCGCACGCAGGCGGUUUGUUAAGUCAGAUGUGAAAUCCCCGGGCUCAACCUGGGAACUGCAUCUGAUACUGGCAAGCUUGAGUCUCGUAGAGGGGGGUAGAAUUCCAGGUGUAGCGGUGAAAUGCGUAGAGAUCUGGAGGAAUACCGGUGGCGAAGGCGGCCCCCUGGACGAAGACUGACGCUCAGGUGCGAAAGCGUGGGGAGCAAACAGGAUUAGAUACCCUGGUAGUCCACGCCGUAAACGAUGUCGACUUGGAGGUUGUGCCCUUGAGGCGUGGCUUCCGGAGCUAACGCGUUAAGUCGACCGCCUGGGGAGUACGGCCGCAAGGUUAAAACUCAAAUGAAUUGACGGGGGCCCGCACAAGCGGUGGAGCAUGUGGUUUAAUUCGAUGCAACGCGAAGAACCUUACCUGGUCUUGACAUCCACGGAAGUUUUCAGAGAUGAGAAUGUGCCUUCGGGAACCGUGAGACAGGUGCUGCAUGGCUGUCGUCAGCUCGUGUUGUGAAAUGUUGGGUUAAGUCCCGCAACGAGCGCAACCCUUAUCCUUUGUUGCCAGCGGUCCGGCCGGGAACUCAAAGGAGACUGCCAGUGAUAAACUGGAGGAAGGCGGGGAUGACGUCAAGUCAUCAUGGCCCUUACGACCAGGGCUACACACGUGCUACAAUGGCGCAUACAAAGAGAAGCGACCUCGCGAGAGCAAGCGGACCUCAUAAAGUGCGUCGUAGUCCGGAUUGGAGUCUGCAACUCGACUCCAUGAAGUCGGAAUCGCUAGUAAUCGUGGAUCAGAAUGCCACGGUGAAUACGUUCCCGGGCCUUGUACACACCGCCCGUCACACCAUGGGAGUGGGUUGCAAAAGAAGUAGGUAGCUUAACCUUCGGGAGGGCGCUUACCACUUUGUGAUUCAUGACUGGGGUGAAGUCGUAACAAGGUA